GACGAACGCUGGCGGCGUGCCUAAUACAUGCAAGUAGAACGCUGAAGGAGGAGCUUGCUUCUCUGGAUGAGUUGCGAACGGGUGAGUAACGCGUAGGUAACCUGCCUGGUAGCGGGGGAUAACUAUUGGAAACGAUAGCUAAUACCGCAUAAGAGUAGAUGUUGCAUGACAUUUGCUUAAAAGGUGCAAUUGCAUCACUACCAGAUGGACCUGCGUUGUAUUAGCUAGUUGGUGGGGUAACGGCUCACCAAGGCGACGAUACAUAGCCGACGUGAGAGGGUGAUCGGCCACACUGGGACUGAGACACGGCCCAGACUCCUACGGGAGGCAGCAGUAGGGAAUCUUCGGCAAUGGACGGAAGUCUGACCGAGCAACGCCGCGUGAGUGAAGAAGGUUUUCGGAUCGUAAAGCUCUGUUGUAAGAGAAGAACGAGUGUGAGAGUGGAAAGUUCACACUGUGACGGUAUCUUACCAGAAAGGGACGGCUAACUACGUG
rnacentral:rRNA from 1 species